GUAGGGAUGGCCUAGUGGUUCAAGGCGUAACAUUGGAACUGCUAUGUUACAGUUCAAUAUUAUAUUCUCUAUU
rnacentral:tRNA from 1 species